GACGAACGCUGGCGGCGUGCUUAACACAUGCAAGUCGAACGGAAAGGCCCUGCUUGCAGGGUACUCGAGUGGCGAACGGGUGAGUAACACGUGGGUGAUCUGCCCUGCACUUCGGGAUAAGCCUGGGAAACUGGGUCUAAUACCGGAUAGAAGCCAUUUUUAGUGUGAUGGUUGGAAAGUUUUUUCGGUGUAGGAUGAGCUCGCGGCCUAUCAGCUUGUUGGUGGGGUAAUGGCCUACCAAGGCGGCGACGGGUAGCCGGCCUGGGAGGGUGGACGGCCACAUUGGGACUGAGAUACUGCCCAGACUCCUACGGGAGGCAGCAGUGGGGAAUAGUGCACAAUGGGCGCAAGCCUGAUGCAGCGACGCCGCGGGGGGGAGGACGGCCUUCGGGUUGUAAACUCCUUUCGCUAGGGACGAAGCUUUUUGUGACGGUACCUAGAUAAGAAGCACCGGCUAACUACGUG
rnacentral:rRNA from 1 species